CUUCCCAGGGUCUCUGUGAGUGGCAUGCCCUCUCUCCCACAGCCGUUUCCACUACAGCGUCAAGAUGGGAAGUUGGAGUGUCUAUAAAGAAAUCACAAGUAUGGUGUGGUCCCUAUCCAAAACGUCAUUGUCCACUCUCAGUUCUCAAAAGUUGGAACCAUUCAAAACGACCCUGCCCUUCUUCAGCUCCUCUACCCUAUAAAUUUCGCCGUGACCAUCCAGCCUGUAUGCAUCCCUAAGGAGACUUUCCAGGUGGAAGCUGGGACCAGGUGCUGGGUGACCGGAUGGGGCAGAAGAGAAGAAUUUGGUGAGACUGUGAGGCAGGAAGCAAACUCGGGCAGAAGGAGGCAGCCUUAUCCCUGGAGUAGGCAAGAAGGCUGAAGGGAGGGAUGCAGAGGCAAACUGCUUGGCAGGUGGGUUAAGGGGGUAGCAGUUUAGCAGCAGCCAGGAUAAUGGUUCCCGAUUGGCCUGAGCCCAGAAAUUAGUUGAGGUCUUUUGUUGCAACAGAUAUUUGAUGGCGGCCAUUUAGGAAAGGCACCGGUCCUGGGAACUGGAGCUGCUCUCAGGAGAAGAAGAAAUACCUGGGUGAAGUCUCCUGCAGAUUUGUGGGGGACCACGCCUGGCUGGUGUGGGGGUAUUUUUAGGUUCCCUGAGGACAGAGCCAGAUGCUAUGGAGUUCUAUCCAGGGUGGAUAUCUGCUCAGGGGGUGAUGAGCUGUCUGCCCAUCGGAGCUGUCCCUCACAGGAAGUACCUGCCUUGGUGGCGAACUCUACUCAUAUAUUCUCCAGGAGGUUGACCAAUACAUCAUCUACUAUGACAGAUGUAAUCAGGUGGUCCAGAAGGCCAUGUCAACAAAUAAGGAUGUAGUAUUAAAAGGAAUGAUCUGUGGCUAUAAAGAUGCAGGAAAGGAUGCCUGUCAGCUUUGAAAAAGCAAGCUGCCAUGAGUCCUCCAGCCACAGGAAAUGAAUUCAGGCAAUAACUGAUGGAGUUUGGAAGCAAACUCUUCCCCAAUCAAGUCUCCCAGUGGAUGAGAAUCCAGCCCGGGCUGACACCUUGAUUGCAGCCUUUCAGAAGACCCAGCUAAGCUGUGCCUGGACUUCUGAUCAACAGGAACUGUGAGAUAAUAAACUU